CAGUCGCCACGGGAAUACGUAGGUGGCAAGCGUUGUCCGGAAUUAUUGGGCGUAAAGGGCUCGCAGGCGGUUUCUUAAGUCUGAUGUGAAAGCCCCCGGCUCAACCGGGGAGGGUCAUUGGAAACUGGGAAACUUGAGUGCAGAAGAGGAGAGUGGAAUUCCACGUGUAGCGGUGAAAUGCGUAGAGAUGUGGAGGAACACCAGUGGCGAAGGCGACUCUCUGGUCUGUAACUGACGCUGAGGAGCGAAAGCGUGGGGAGCGAAUGGGAUUAGAUACCCGGGUAGUCCCUGUCUCUUAUAC
rnacentral:rRNA from 1 species